CUUGUUCCGUAAAUAGGGACCUGUAUGAACGGCCACAUGAGAAAGAAACUGUCUCUUGAAGAUAGCCAAUGAAACUGAUCUACUUGUCCAAAAGCAAGCAUAAUUUAGCUAGACAAAAAGACCCUGUGAAACUUAAACUAAGCAUUAAACAAACUUAAUGCCUCCUUUUAGUUGGGGCAACUUAAGAUAUACUAAACAUCUAAUAACUCUAAACCAACAAGUUGAACUACCCAAACACAAGAUCCGGCACAGCCGACUAACGAACCAAGCUACUCCAGGGAUAACAGCGCCAAAUUCUUUAAGAGUCCACAUCAACAAGAAUUCUUACGACCUCGAUGUUGGAUCAGGAUAUCCAAACAGCGCAGAAGCUGUUAACGGCUCGUUUGUUCAACGACUAACACCCU
rnacentral:rRNA from 1 species